AUUGAACGCUGGCGGCAGGCCUAACACAUGCAAGUCGAGCGAGCGGCGGACGGGUGAGUAAUGUAUGGGGACUGCCCGAUAGAGGGGGAUAACUACUGGAAACGGUGGCUAAUACCGCAUACUGUCGGAUAACCCAUAUGUGAUUAGCUAGUAGGUAAGGGAAUGGCUUAACUCGGCGACGAUCCCUAGCUUGUCUGAGAUGAUGAUCAGCCACACUGGGACUGAGACACGGACCAGAUUCCGACGGAGGAAGCAGAGGGGAAUAUUGCACAAUGGGCGCAAGCAUGAUGCAGCCAUGCCGCGUGUAUGAAGAAGGCCCUAGGGGUGUAAAGUACUUUCAGUCGGGAGACGUUACCGACAGAAGAAGCACGGGCUAGCUACGUGCCAGCAGCCGCGGUAAUUC
rnacentral:rRNA from 1 species